UACAGAGGCCUCGAGCGUUGCGCGGAAUCACUGGGCUUAAAGGGUGCGUAGGUGGACAUGCAAGUGCCUUGUGAAAUCCCCGGGCUCAACCCGGGAACUGCUUGGUAGACUGCAUGUCUUGAGGUCGGUAGGGGUCGCUGGAACAGUUGGUGGAGCGGUGAAAUGCGUAGAUAUCAACUGGAACGCCAAAGGCGAAGGCAAGCGACUGGGCCGAUUCUGACACUGAGGCACGAAAGCGUGGGGAGCAAACGGG
rnacentral:rRNA from 1 species